GCAAGUCGAGCGGACAGAUGGGAGCUUGCUCCCUGAUGUUAGCGGCGGACGGGUGAGUAACACGUGGGUAACCUGCCUGUAAGACUGGGAUAACUCCGGGAAACCGGGGCUAAUACCGGAUGGUUGUUUGAACCGCAUGGUUCAGACAUAAAAGGUGGCUUCGGCUACCACUUACAGAUGGACCCGCGGCGCAUUAGCUAGUUGGUGAGGUAACGGCUCACCAAGGCAACGAUGCGUAGCCGACCUGAGAGGGUGAUCGGCCACACUGGGACUGAGACACGGCCCAGACUCCUACGGGAGGCAGCAGUAGGGAAUCUUCCGCAAUGGACGAAAGUCUGACGGAGCAACGCCGCGUGAGUGAUGAAGGUUUUCGGAUCGUAAAGCUCUGUUGUUAGGGAAGAACAAGUGCCGUUCAAAUAGGGCGGCACCUUGACGGUACCUAACCAGAAAGCCACGGCUAACUACGUGCCAGCAGCCGCGGUAAUACGUAGGUGGCAAGCGUUGUCCGGAAUUAUUGGGCGUAAAGGGCUCGCAGGCGGUUUCUUAAGUCUGAUGUGAAAGCCCCCGGCUCAACCGGGGAGGGUCAUUGGAAACUGGGGAACUUGAGUGCAGAAGAGGAGAGUGGAAUUCCACGUGUAGCGGUGAAAUGCGUAGAGAUGUGGAGGAACACCAGUGGCGAAGGCGACUCUCUGGUCUGUAACUGACGCUGAGGAGCGAAAGCGUGGGGAGCGAACAGGAUUUAGAUACCCUGGUAAGUCCACGCCGUAAACGAUGAGUGCUAAGUGUUAGGGGGUUUCCGCCCCUUUAGUGCUGCAUCUAACGCAUUAUGCACUCCGCCCGGGGGAGUACGGUCGCAAGACUGAAACUC
rnacentral:rRNA from 1 species